rnacentral:rRNA from 1 species
UACAGAGGUCUCAAGCGUUGUUCGGAUUCAUUGGGCGUAAAGGGUGCGUAGGUGGCGGGGUAAGUCAGGUGUGAAAUUUCGGAGCUUAACUCCGAAACUGCAUUUGAUACUGCCUUGCUUGAGGACUGGAGAGGAGACUGGAAUUCAUGGUGUAGCAGUGAAAUGCGUAGAGAUCAUGAGGAAGACCAGUGGCGAAGGCGGGUCUCUGGACAGUUCCUGACACUGAGACACGAAGGCUAGGGGAGCAAACGGG